AUCACUUCUUGGCCUUUUGGCUAAGAUCAAGUGUAGUGUCUGUAAAGAGCUUAGGACAGCAUCAGCACAGAGAAAGCAUUUAAUAAAUGUGUCUUUUUUAAAAAAAAAAAGUAUUUAUUUGAAAGGCAGAGUUACAGAGAGAGAGAGAGAGACAGAAUCUUUCAUCAGCUGUUUCACUCCCCAA